CCUGAUGCAGCGACGCCGCGUGAGGGAUGACGGCCUUCGGGUUGUAAACCUCUUUCAGCAGGGAAGAAGCGAAAGUGACGGUACCUGCAGAAGAAGCGCCGGCUAACUACGUGCCAGCAGCCGCGGUAAUACGUAGGGCGCGAGCGUUGUCCGGAAUAUUGGGCGUAAAGAGCUCGUAGGCGGUCUGUCGCGUCGGAUGUGAAAGCCCGGGGCUUAACCCCGGGUCUGCAUUCGAUACGGGCAGACUAGAGUGUGGUAGGGGAGAUCGGAAUUCCUGGUGUAGCGGUGAAAUGCGCAGAUAUCAGGAGGAACACCGGUGGCGAAGGCGGAUCUCUGGGCCAUUACUGACGCUGAGGAGCGAAAGCGUGGGGAGCGAACAGGAUUAGAUACCCUAGUAGUCCACGCCGUAAACGGUGGGAACUAGGUGUUGGCGACAUUCCACGUCGUCGGUGCCGCAGCUAACGCAUUAAGUUCCCCGCCUGGGGAGUACGGCCGCAAGGCUA
rnacentral:rRNA from 1 species